AGUGAACGCUGGCGGUAGGCCUAACACAUGCAGGUCGAACGGCAGCACAGUAAGAGCUUGCUCUUACGGGUGGCGAGUGGCGGACGGGUGAGGAAUACAUCGGAAUCUACUUUUUCGUGGGGGAUAACGUAGGGAAACUUACGCUAAUACCGCAUACGACCUACGGGUGAAAGCAGGGGAUCUUCGGACCUUGCGCGAUUAAAUGAGCCGAUGUCGGAUUAGCUAGUUGGCGGGGUAAAGGCCCACCAAGGCGACGAUCCGUAGCUGGUCUGAGAGGAUGAUCAGCCACACUGGAACUGAGACACGGUCCAGACUCCUACGGGAGGCAGCAGUGGGGAAUAUUGGACAAAGGGCGCAAGCCUGAUCCAGCCAUACCGCGUGGGUGAAGAAGGCCUUCGGGUUGUAAAGCCCUUUUGUUGGGAAAGAAAAGCAGCAGGUUAAUACCCCGCUGUUCUGACGGUACCCAAAGAAUAAGCACCGGCUAACUUCGUG
rnacentral:rRNA from 1 species